UACGGAGGGUGCAAGCGUUGUUCGGAAUUAUUGGGCGUAAAGCGUGUCUCGGCGGAUAGGCAAGUCAGGUGUUAAAGACCCCGGCUCAACUGGGGGAGUGCGCUUGAUACUGCUUGUCUUGAGUCAUAGAGGGAUGAGCGGAAUUCCUGGUGUAGCAGUGAAAUGCGUAGAGAUCAAGAGGAACACUCGUGGCGAAAGCGAGCUACUGGACAAUUCCUGACGCUGAGGCUCGAAGGCUAGGGUAGCGAAAGGG
rnacentral:rRNA from 1 species